UUCAUCCAUCACCCUUUGCCAAAGGAGUUAGCCUCCCAUUACAAGCAUCACCUUUUCCUUUAUUCUAUUUUUUUUCUUUUUCUUUUCGGAAACAGGGCAUCCCCUAUUUCUCUCUUCUGUUUUUUUUUCCUUUUCACUCCAGCAGCCCGGGUCCUCCCCUGUUUCUUUCUUCUCCCAAAAUGAGCCCUUUUGCCUCUCCCAGCCGAGAGAGCUAUAUAGUUAGCAUUCAAUCCCUCCCUUUGCACGCGAUGGAGAUCGACGGAAGGGCUGCAUCUCGGGCGAUGAUCUCGAGAUGCUAGAAAUGGGUGCGGAAGAUCAAAUCACGGAUCCGGGAGCUAGAUGCGUGGGAUCCUGAGAUUUGGGAGGUGAUUGCGGCCGGCUCCGUCGCUGAGAAUGGAUGCUGGGACGAUCGCGAGAAUGGAUCAUGGAGGCUGAUUCGAGGGAAAGAGGUAGAUGCAGAUUGAGGCUUGUGAACGGCUGGGAGGUGAAGCAGAAUCGGUGGAGGAGGUGGACUGCUGGGAGGUGCUGAUCGCUAGCUCACGGAUGGCUGCAAGCGGGAUGGAAUGCGUGAGAUGCUUGGAAGAAGAGGAUCGAACGCCGUGGAUGCUGUUGGGUGGUCGCUGAGAUGCUCACGAAUGGCUGGAACGGAGGAAGAAGCGGGCGCUGAUCUCGGCUGGGAUGCGGUGAAGACGGGGUGGCUGGGAUGCUCGGGAGAAGCAGAAUAUGGCGUGGACGGCUUGAAAAUGAAGCUUGGACUCGCGGACGCUUGGGAUUCGGAUGACUGAUUGCAUGCGAAUGGCUGAAGGAGUGGAUUCCCGGAGAUUGUGGAUGCGCUCGGAAGAUCACGAUCGCUUGCAUCGCGGGAUCAUCCUAGAUGGCGAAGAUGGAAACUUCACGGGAUGUUGGGAGGAUGUAAACUGAUCGGGAUCUUUUCGCUGGUCCUCUGAAUGGAAGAACUGGGUACACGGAAUGUAGAUCAGAAGGCUAAAAACAUAUGGCUGCCAGAUGUCGCUUGGGUACAAAUAUAGUUGAUGAAUGGUGAAUUCGAUCAGACCAUGACGAGGUUGGGCAUACAUGAUCUGAGUUGUGCAUCUGUCUAAGCCCAAUCUGUACUGAAUGCGCAUUUUGGCCUCGAUUUAUGAUCACCUACACUCAACAAAAAUAUAAUAUUAAUUCAGUGAAAUUAACAUUAUCUUGUUAGCAAUAAUACUAAUUUAAGUGGUAUGUAGAUCGCACUUUUGUGCUCUCAUCACACCCCCCAACUAGCUUAUUGCUAGUUUCUAGCAAUUCGGAGUAAACAAUAACAUGAGAGUACAAAGAGUGUUGGUUGAUCCUUUGAUGUUUUAUUAGAACUAAUUGCAUAAAAUUAAGAUAAGUACUCACUUUCGUAGGAAUCACGAUUGCACUUAGCAUGUGCAACAAGCCGUUAAACUCCUAGGUUACCCUAGUGGACGAGUAUUGUCUCGUGAGGGUUUGCAGUGAUGUUACCCACAAACAUUAUUCAUAAAAUAAUAUACAAUGAAAUCUAAGUCAAUACACAUGUGAUAUAUAUAUUUCUCAAUCUUGGCAACUAUCAAAGCAAGGGGAAUACUGAAGUGUAGUAGGCAUAAACAGAAUGACUUUCUUAGAGCACUAAUACCUCCACCACAACAUGGUACCGCUUGAAUUUUAGGUGUACUACUCAAGUUCACAAGUGUUUACUACAGUUUAUUUGAGCCUGAUCCAUCAAAUUUUCAGAAUAUCAUAUGUUAUCUAAAUUUAUCCAGAAUGGUUUGUAUAUAAAGAAAGAGUUAUCAAUUCCGACUAAACAACCCGGGUACACAGAGGUCCAAUACAAUGGAGUCAAACCAGCCAUUACCACAUGUCACUGGGUUCAGCCCGACCAACCCUAUUCAUGCUUAUUUUUAUUUUUAAACACAUAUGAUGAUUACAAUAAUCCAACCCCCUUAGGCUCUAGUAAGGUCUAUGUAGCGAGUUUUCGGCCAAUGACUCCUGAUCCAGUUGGCUCAAGGCAUUAGAUGAAACACCCCUCGGGCUUAAUUACUCGAACCAAACUACACCACGAGAUCAGGCUUGUCAUCUUUUUUUUAUUUUUUUAAUUAUUAUGUAAUAAAAAAAGAAGGUAAACUGAACUAUAUAAUGUGACUGCAUCGUGACUAUAGGUCAACCAAGGUCGGAACAUAAGGCACUUAAAUGAUCUAGUCGGGGUAUUUAACCUCUAUCUUUAUGUGAAAACCAAAUCAUGGACCUUAUAGUACGGACAAGGAUACUCGUACUUUUUUUACAGAUACAGCUUAAUAAAAAUGCAUUAAACAAAUAUGAACUCCUGAGACCUUCCUAUAAUCAUUAAAUACAUGUGCGGGGAUCUAAUAAUAGGUCUCUGAUCAGUCAUAGUAUGCAUGUGUUCCUUGCCUUAAUAGUUGCACAAACUCAAUAUAAAAAUACAUGUGCAUUUGCUUAGAAAAGAAAGUAAUAGAAUAAUGCAAAAACAAGUCUUUUUUUUUUUGCGAAAUAUUUCCCUCCCCCCAACUUAAACAUUGCAUUGUCCUCAAUGUAAUAGAUAUAAGAAAACUAUAUAUGAAAGACAGUGGAGAAAAUAAUACUGGAGAGAAGAGGAAUAUCUUGAGCUGUUGUUAUCCAGAAAAGAAAACCUACAAAAUAAGAAAAAAACUCUAAAUAAAAGAAAAAAUUAAUUCUAACUAAUAUACAUAUACCUUUGCCGUCUGGUUCAGUUAUAAGAAGGUUCCCCCAAGGAAAAGGAGUCCUCUUCAUCUGCAAAAUUUUCAAGAAAAGAUUUUAACCUGUGUCCAUUUACCUUAAAAAUUCUACCAUCCUGUGGAUUCUCAAUCUCAACUGUCCCAUAUGGAAAAACAGUUUUUAUAAUGUAAGGACCUGUCCAUCUCGAUCGCAACUUACCAGGAAACAGAUGUAAGCGGGAAUCAUAUAAAAGAACAUUUUGCAAAGGUUCAAAAGAUUUUUUUAAAAUAGAUUUAUCAUGUAAGGUCUUCAUUCGUUCUUUGUAAAUUUUAGCAUUGUCAUAAGCAUCUCUGCGAAUUUCAUUAAGCUCGUUCAAUUGCAAUUUUCUAGCUGGACCGGCAUCAUGUAAAUCAAAAUUCAAUUUUCUAAUUGCCCAAUACGAUUUAUGUUCUAUUUCUACAGGCCGAUGACACGCUUUUUAGUUGACUAGUCAGUAGGGAGACAUGCCAAGAAUGGUUUUGUAUGCAGUAUGAUAAGCCCAUAAUGCAUCUGAUAGUUUCAAGGACCAAUCUUUUCGUGAUGGGUUCACCGUUUUCUCUAAAAUUCGUUUAAUCUCCCGAUUGGCUAACUCUACUUGGCCACUAGUUUGCGGAUGAUAUGGGGUAGCAACUCUGUGGGUGACACCAUACUUUUUUAAUAAAGUCUCGAAAGGCUUAUUACAAAAGUGCUUUCCACCAUCACUAAUUAUGACCUUAGGUAUCCCAAAUCGUGAAAAAAUAUUUUCUUUCAGAAAUUUCAAAACAGGUUUGUGAUCAUUGGUUCUACAGGCGACAGCUUCUACCCAUUUAGACACAUACUCAACACCAACUAAAAUGUACUCAUAUCCAAAAGACGGUGGGAAUGGGCCCAUGAAAUCGAUGCCCCAUAUGUCAAAAAUUUCAAUAGCAGUAAUGGGCUGAAGAGGCAUCAUUUCCUACGAGUUAGACUCCUAACACGUUGACAUGGGUCACAUGUCCUACAGAACUCGUGGGCAUCUUUAAAUAGUGUAGGCCAAUAAAAACCACAUUGCAACACCUUAGCUGCCGUUUUCUUAGAAGCAAAGUGUCUAUCACAAGCAUCAGUGUGACAGAAAGAAAGUAUGCUUUGUAUGUCAUGAUCCGGUAUGCAUCGUCUAAAAAUUUGGUCAUUGCAAUAUUUAAAUAAAUAGGGUUUGUCAUAGUAAUAAUUCCUCACUUAGCGCAAAAAUUUUUUUCUAUCUGUCGACCCCCAAUGCUCCAAAAUCCGGUUCGUGACAAGAGAGUUUACAAUAUCAGCAUACUAUGGCAUAGUAGAAAGUGCAAAUAACUGCUCUUCGGAGAAUAAGUCCUUGAUGAAAAACUGUGGUACCGAAUUAUUAAAAACUAAUCAUGAUAAAUGGUCAGCAACCACAUUCUCUACUCUCUUUUUAUCUUUGAUAGUGAUGUCAAAUUCUUGGAGUAGAAGUAUCCAUCAUAUUAAGCGUGGUUUGGCCUCUUUCUUAUCCAACAAAUAUUUUAGUGCUGCAUGGUCCGUGAAGAUAACAAUAGGAGCACCAAGGAUAUAAGAGCGAAAUUUAUCUAAGGCAAAUACUACUGCAAGCAAUUCCUUCUCGGUGGUGGUGUAAUUCAUUUGAGCAUCGUUUAAGGUUUUGCUUGCAUAGUAAAUGACAUAUGGCUUAUUAUCCUUGCGUUGUCCUAGGACAGCUCCUAUCGCAUAGUCACUAGCGUCGCACAUAAUCUCAAAAGGUAAUGACCAAUCGGGUGGUCGCACGAUGGGUGCAGUGCUAAGCAUAGACUUCAACUUUUCGAAUGCCUCCUGAUAGGUUUCAGUCCAAUUGAACGGUGUAUCAAGGGAUAGAAGGUUACAUAAUGGUCGAGCUAUGAUACUAAAGUCCUUGAUGAACCUCCUAUAAAAUCCGGCGUGACCCAAAAAUGAUCUAACAUCUCUAACCGUCUUGGGUGCAGGUAGCUUAGCAAUUAAAUCAAUCUUAAAUCUAUCUACUUCCAUACCCUUCGAUGAAACAAUAUGUCCUAAGACAAUUCCUUUUGGCACCAUGAAGUGGCAUUUCUUCCAAUUCAGUAUCAAAUUCUUCUCCAUCCUGGGAAGGGCUGCAUCUCGGGCGAUGAUCUUGGGAUGCUGGAAAUGGGUGCGGAAGAUCAAAUCACGGAUUCGGGAGCUAGAUGCGUGGGAUCCUGAGAUCUGGGAGGUGAUUGCAGCCGGCUCCAACGCUGAGAACGGAUGCUGGGACGAUCGCAAGAAUGGAUCAUGGAAGCUGAUUCGAGGGAAAGAGGCGGACGCGGAUUGAGGCUUGUGAACGGCUGGAAGGUGAAGCGGAAUCGGUGGAGGAGGGAGACUGCUGGGAGGCGCUGAUCGCUGGCUCAUGGAUGGCUGCAAGCGGGAUGGAAUGCGUGAGAUACGUGGGAGAAGAGGAUCGGAUGCCGUGGAUGCUGCUGGGUGGUCGUUGAGAUGCUCACGAAUGGCUGGAAUGGAGGAAGAAGCGGGCGCUGAUCUCGGCUGGGAUGCGGUGAAGAUGGGGUGGCUGGGACGCUCGAGAGAAGCAGAAUAUGGCGUGGACGGCUUGAAAAUGAAGCUUGGACUCGUGGACGCUUGGGAUUCGGAUGACUGAUUGCAUGCGAAUGGCUGAAGGAGUGGAUUCCGGGAGAUUGUGGAUGCGCUCGGAAGAUCACGAUCGCUUGCAUCGUGGGAUCAUCCUAGAUGGCGAAGAUGGAAACUUCACGGGAUGCUGGGAGGAUGUACCCUGAUUGGGAUCUUUUCGCUGGUCCUCUGAACGGAAGAACUGGGUACACGGAAUGUAGAUCGGAAAGCUAAAAACAUAUGGCUGCCACAUGUCGCUUGGGUACAAAUAUACUUGAUGAAUGGUGAAUUCGAUC
rnacentral:lncRNA from 1 species